UUGUGAUGUCAUCAUCAGGCCGGCAAUUUGACUCUAGGAGCUGCACACAUGUGCACAGCUGGCAGCAGCUGCAGCUGCUUCACACAAGCCAUCAGGCUGCCACCAUGGCUAUCUACAGGGACUCAAGCUACAGGAAGCCAGUGCCCAACGUUCUGGGUUCCCCACUAAAGUGCAACAUGCCUCUUCUGAAGUAGGGGUGCAGAGAAACGUCCCCAUCCCCGGCCUAGGUUUCUAGUCUGCACUGGGCAGCUGGGCCACUGAAUGGCAUGUGCCUCAGGUGGGACUAGAUGCUUUAAAGAAUGGGUGUAAUACUGGUGUGGCGGGAAAGGGGCUGGGCUGGUGUGCUCACUGUGGCAUAGGGGUGGAUCUCCUCGCCUCAGCCUGGCUCAUUUCCUUCCCUAACUCUGACAUCUCUGGAGCCAAGAGAAAGCUUCAAAGGAAAAAAAAAUCUAGGAUCAGGAGCCAGAGAGAGCUAAGCUCUUGAGGGCCACCCACGGCACCUGGCCCACAGGCUCCAGGAGCCCAGGCUGCCCUGAUAGAUGGACAUGAUGAGAUAGCACCAAGUGGGCAGGAAGAGGUCCUGUGGCCUUGCAAGCAGGGGCUCCAGGCCCAAGCCCAGGUUACAAUAUAGCACUAGGCACACAAGGCUUGAUCCAAUGUGAGGGUGAGGGUGGUUCUGGGGUCACCAACUUUGAAACCCCUACCCAGAGGUCCUGAGGAUGUAGAGAAAACCCUGACACAACUGAGAGUCUCUGAGCCCCAGAUUCUUGUUCCCAGGCAGCUACCUAACUCAGGUGUGGAGAGUGUGUCUCCCAAGGGCUGGCCUGGCUACCACCACACCGACCUGGGGGGAGGAGCUAGGCUGCCCAUAGCUUGAAUUCCUUUGUUAACAUGAUAUUGAUGGGUUUGCAUCUUUUAAAACACAGCUCUUUAAUUUUUUAGUUCUAUAACUACUGUUUUAAUAUUUUAAUAUUCUCAACAAUGGACACAAUGUAACUGCCCCGUUCUCUGAAUCACACAAACAAUAUCAACAAGCAGAGAAACAAGAGAGGUGGCAGGAGCCAGACAGACACCGGCUCCCUCCAAUCAACCCCUAAAAUCACUUCUCCCUCAGAAGAGGCAGGAGGAGAAAUACCUACAACAGGGUCACAGCACUUGCCAAGCACAUCGGGAAGAAUCAGGAGACACUUGGUUACAAUUUUGACACUAAAAAGUUUGGAAAGUUUCUGGUUAAAAAGAGUACAGACAGCCAUUUUGUUCAGAAGGAUCCCUAGGUAAAACAUGUUUUCUUUUUCCCUGAACGUCCUCUUGGUUCACAGGAAGAACAUGUCUUUGAACAGUCAGAAUCUCUGAGACUGGCAGUGACGGCGGGUGCCCAACAGGCCUGUGGUGCGGCCUCAUCCCUCUGGCUCCUUUCCCAUGACUCUGGACUCUGCAGGCAGGAGGUGAGGCAGACUCGAGAGUUGUUAUCAAUACUGCUGACAUAGGGUCUGGUGGGACUUAGGCCUGUGGGUAUCACAUCCUACGGAGUGACAUAUCCUUGCUUUGACCCUUCUUCAAAGACCUGGAGGGAGGCCAAUGAGUCUGUGCUUCAGUCACAUAGGAGGGUGUGGUGCCAAGCCAGUCCCAGUGUUAAUAGCAGAGGGCAGGACAGUAGCACGUGAGAACCAUCUGGACUGACUUCAUCUCUCCUGAGAAAGAAAUUGAGCCAACACAUUCUUCCCAGGAGGCCAAACGGAUGGGACAGGACACGGCCAGCCACAGCGUGACCUCCAACACCACUGGUGGUCUUGUUCCAGUCUGCUCUCCUUGUUCCAGUGCUCUUCUAAAGCCCACUGGCGAGGAAGAGGUACACUCAGGCCUUCUCAAGUGGGAGAAUAAAGGCUGGCAGGAAUUGCAGGAGCCCCUCCGCAUUGCUGAGUUGCUAAACCCCACUCUGACUUCUUCAUCUUAAAUGUCCGGUAGUAACACUGACAGCAAAGAUCCUGACCUACCACAUGGGACCUUCCAGGCAGAGAGGUGGCUCACCCAAGCCCAUAGAUGCCAUGAGGGUGGAGAACAAAGAAUGCUGGUCUGCGAAGAAGGAAGGGAGAAGGUAUGCGUUCACUGCCAUGAUUCAACUGAGCACAUCUCACAGGGCUUCCACACCAUCCCUAUCCGAGGCUUUUCCAAGGAUGACACUGUGCACAUGGAUGUGCACACAAGUAGGCAUUUCAUACUAUUUUUUGAGUGAAUGAAUUGGAGGAGGGAAUGUGUGUGCAUUAAGACAAACUCAGUUGUGCCAAAAGAAGUUUCUAGGCAGGUACAAGGCUGUGGCUCUGUGGUUGUAUCUUGAGAGUAAAGCUGAGAAGGUGGGCAGUGGAUCACAUACUCUAGCAACCCCUGGUCAACAGCAGCUUGGGGCAAGGUGUUGGGAGCAGAGAGCACUGUGGGUGAUGCUCAGGAGGAAUCAGCCUGGCCCUCCAGGACAGCUUCUGAGGAACAAAACUGCAGGCAGUGACAAGAGGGCCCUACAAAUUAAGCCCUCUUCUCUUCAGUCAGACAUUUAGCCUACCAAUGUAGCAUG
rnacentral:lncRNA from 1 species